UCUGAGUGUACUAAGGUAGCGCUAUAAUUUGCCCUUUAAUGGGGGCUGGUAUGAAUGGGUUCACGUGAGAGUUGCUGUAUCACAAAAAUUUUUUGAAAUUAACUUUUAGGUGAAGAGGCCUAGCUAGGUUUAGAGGACGACAAGACCCUAGAAGCUUUACUGUCGGCAAGCUAUUGGGUGGUUUGUUUCAGUUUUGUUGGGGCAACAAGGUUAGAAAGUAUAGCGUAUUAUUAUAAACCUACCAGUUAAAACCACAUUAGUGGAUAAGAUAAGUUACUCUAGGGAUAACAGCGUUAUUUUUUUUAAUAGUACGUAUUGUAAAAGAAGUUUGCGACCUCGAUGUUGGAUUAAGGUGUCCUUAAGGCGCAGAAGUUUUAAAGGGUUGGCCUGUUCGUCCAUUAAAACCUUACA
rnacentral:rRNA from 1 species